rnacentral:misc_RNA from 1 species
UACGUAGGGGGCAAGCGUUGUCCGGAAUUAUUGGGCGUAAAGCGCGUGCAGGCGGCUUUUUAAGUCGGGUGUUUAAGACCGGGGCUCAACCCCGGCUCGCACCCGAAACUGGGAAGCUUGAGUGUAGGAGAGGAAAGUGGAAUUCCACGUGUAGCGGUGAAAUGCGUAGAGAUGUGGAGGAACACCAGUGGCGAAGGCGACUUUCUGGUCUGUAACUGACGCUGAGGCGCGAAAGCGUGGGGAGCAAACAGG